UGAGAGGUGCCUCCGCCCCCUUCCGCCUCUCCCCUCGGAACUACAGCUCCCGGGGCGCCCCGCGCCGUUCCCAUGGCGACAGGCAGCCGGGCCCGGGCGGACAGCGGCGAUGCCCAAGGCCGGCGGUACUCUGUGGGAUAUUGCUAGAGACGAAGUGGAGAAGAGAGAAAACUCCGGCGACGAUGGCGAGCGCGUGGAAGUUUGGGAAAAAUCAGUGUUGUUUAUGGGAAGCAAAAACGGGGGGAAGACCACUAUCAUACUGAGGUGUCUUGAGAGGGAAGAGAUUCCAAAGCCAACGUUAGUUUUGGAAUAUACCUUCGGGAGAAGGGCAAGGAGACACAAUGCACCCAAAGAUAUAGCUCAUUUUUGGGAAAUAGGUGGUGGAACCUCGUUACUGGAACUGAUUCGAAUACCAAUCACCGUCAACAACGUAAGGUCAUUUGCAGUAGUUCUUGUAUUGGAUCUAUCCAAACCUAAUGAACUCUGGAUGACUAUGGAGAAUCUUCUGCAGGCCACCAGAAACCACGUGAAUAAAAUUUUAGCCAAACUGGAAAAGGCAGAUCCUGAAGCAGCUGCUGAAAUUAAGCAGAAGAUGCAGAACAAUCUACAGGGGGAUCAUCCAGAUUAUGACUUGGUUGACCCUUUUCCAAUACCCUUGGUGAUUAUUGGAAGCAAAUACGAUAUAUUUCAUGAGUUUGACUCUGAAAUGAGGAAAAUAAUAAGCAGGACACUUCGAUUUGUUUCACAUUAUUAUGGAGCAUCACUGGCGUUUACCAGUAAAUCUGAGGCUCUCCUGCUGAAAGCUCGUGCUCUUAUUAAUCACUUGGCAUUUGGCUACGAUAGAAGCAAGUCCAUAUCAGUGGAUCACAGCAAACCACUAUUUAUCCCAGCAGGCCUGGAUUCACUGAGCCAAAUAGGGCCACCACCCACCUCUGACAGCAACAUUGGAAAGAUGCGUGCAAACACACCUUUAGAACUGUGGAAGAAGGUGUUUGAGAAGACGUUUCCUCCCAAGAGUUUCAGUGAUUUACAAGACAGCAAGGACCCUGCACAGGACUCACAAUAUGCUGAGUAUGAAGUUGAUGUCAUGAGAGCUCAGAAAAACCAGGUUCUGGAUCAAAAACAACCAUGUCGCUCACUUGGUUGGUUUUAAAACAUCUGUCCUGUGUUGCAAUAACGGGCUAAUGAACCAUGUCAUCCACAACUGGUGUCAUCUUUGGUGUCAGAUCUGACACUGUUAUUCACACCCCAUCGGUAUCUGAUUGUGGUUGGGAUCAGUUAAUCACAUAUUGGCCAACAUGAGAACCAGCCAUAUUUUUCUCAGCAUUUUGUCCUGCUAUGAGCAUAUUGCAGAACUUCAAGAGAGCACUUCAGAUUAAACAAAAUAGAAGCUUUCAUGCUGUGCAGUGAACCUCCUGUCCAGUGUUAGUGGGCAAAGGGUUGUGACACUCACCGUUACAGCAGGAGCAUCUUUCCUUUUAUCCAGAGAAGUGCCAGUCUUCAUGAGAGGAAGGUUAUGUAGGGUGCUGAUACAGCUGCCAUGAGUAAGCUUUUUUGUGUUUGCUUGAAAACAUACCCAAGUGGGUACAACACAGGCAUUUUAGUGUUGGUUUAAGAGCCUUAUUAGAGCACAGUUAUUAAACUUCUGCUGAAUCUUAAUUGCUUAUUUUAAUCCUAGUACUUGUUUCUUUUUACUGUCUUACAGACUGAGAGCAAGUUCAGUCAGAAACCAUAUUUUAAAAAGACAGUUAAAGUUGCAGUGCCAGUCUCUUAGGACUGAGGGAAUGAAACAAUUAAAGCUUUUCCUGCAAUCGUAAUUUUACUCCUUGUUUGUAGACAUUACAGUAUUGUCUUUAAUUACAUGAUCAUGUACUAUUUUGCUGAUGUCUCAGUUCAGUUGUUCAGUAUUUCUUUUCAUUCUACUCAUUCUUUGUGUACCUUAUUUCUCAACCUGCCAUUCAGACACUUCAGUGAACACAAAAGUAUUAAUUUUUUUCUCUAAGAAUGUGUGGUAAUGUUAUCUUAUCUGAGUGCCUCACAAACAUCAGUUAAGUCUUUCUUCUCAAUCCCUUUAUGAGAUAGCUGGGAUCUUCCCCAUUUGACAGUUGAAGAAUUUAUAGCAACACAAGUACAGAAGCAGUAAGGUUAAAAAUAUAUAUAUAUAAAAGAAAGGAAAAAAAAAUCACUCUUAGCCAGAGUUGAGGCAUUUAGGACAAGUUGCUGGCACACCAAUAACAUUUAAAACAUUCUAAGCACACUGAAAGCAAUUAUUAAUUCUGCACAUCUGAUCUGUAUGAUGUAUUUACCCCUUUCUGUAGCAUUUGAGAAAGCUGUUGGAACUGAAGUUAUUUUCUUAGCAUCAAAUAGGAUACAUGUACUUCUCAAAAUAUCCCUGUAUUCUCUCUACUUCUACUACCAAACUGCUGGAGGUUUGCUGCCAGUUCCAAAUGUUCUGAGAUCGCAGUUACUUUAUAUUAAUAGUGAGGGAAAGAAAUACUGAGUAUAGACUGGCUUAAAGAUGGAACAAUAUGCAGUCUCACUGGACUUGUAUUUAAUAAUGCAACUUAAUACAUUUAGAUACAGUUUGUUCUGCAUCAGUCAUCAGUGAGUAAACUGUAAAACUCAACUCUUGUAAGCAUCAGAAGGAUAUGCACUAAUUAAAAAAUCCUGUUACUGCUCAGAAACCUGUGGUGCUUUCUGAUAGUUUUGCACUGCUGGUGAAGCUGCUGAAAUUGCUGUCUGAAAGAGAAAAUUCAUUAGAGUUUCCUCACAGUUAUUAGGCAGUGAUUUUUCUGUCGCUCAUGUUAAACACUUGAGCAAUUUUGAGGAUCUCCACUGCAUUUAUACUUACCACUGCUUUAUGUUCAGUCAUUUUCCAUCCUUCCCCCUCCCAUUUUUCUUCUCAUCAUCCCAAGCUACUUCAACCAUAAGUGCACAGACGUUAUUGUUUGUGACUCCUGGAGGCUAACUUUUCUUAUUUGCUUUGGCAGAUAAUUUUAAUCUGUAUUUUGUCUCUCUUUUUGGCUUGAGAGUAAAUUUCCAAAAGGAUGAAUGUUCUUUUCUGCUUAAAGCAUUUUGAGAAGAGGCGCUCAUGGUUUUUAAGUAAACUUAGGAGCAAGAAUAGAAAUACAUUGAAAUCUUAAUGAAAGAGUUGUACUACUCCUAAAUUAGCAUGGCUCUUUUGAAGCUCAUACAAAAAGCUGCUUCAAGCUUCUCUUGAAGUGGUUGCUGUUAGCAUGAAUUCCUCAAUAAACAAUGGAAACAACUAAUAAAAACCAGAAUUUUUGCCUGCUUAGUCCUAUUCACAGCAGUAUGUUUGCACAGCCUGAUUCAGUAUCUUGACAGAUCAUAGAGCUGUCUAAAUGCAGACAUUUGCUUUUAGAAGCUUUUCAGGUAACCCAUUUUAAAUCUGACCUUCAGCUGUGUUUCAGAACGUGAACCUAGCUUUGUUUUUUAGUUACACAUAAAACACAAGAUAUCACUACCUUGGAAGACCUUGCUGGCACGUUUUUUACAAUACAGAACUUAAUACUGCAGGAACUUGAACAGUACAAAAGAAAUGCCUCCAAAUCCUGGAAAGAAAUGGAUUUUGGUCCUGAUUGAUGAACUGCUGAUGGUGUCCUAAGUUUCACAUUUGCAAGAUUUGAAUAUGAAGGUGGCAUCAGUCAUUCCUACCUGUUUUACAAUUCGUAACAAAUUACUCAAUGUAUUUUUGACCAAUGCCUCCCUAAUCAUCUGUGCAAAUGCAUACAAGUUUUCACACCCAAAAUAUGAACUGCAUGGUUAAGUACACCAGGCAUCUUCAAAAUCAAAGCUUAAGAAUGCAUUUCCAUCAUAAUUUGACCUAUUUGAGUAGUUCCAGAAAAAUGUGUAGAACAAAAUAGAAUUAAAAACAAUUUUGGCCUGAUCUGAAAUUCGUAAGUCUUCUUUAUCUCAGCUUCAGUAUCAUAAAGUUUGAUUCUUCUGUCAGAAUAAGCAAGACAAAUCUGCAUUAAAUCAGAGAUGGCUCUGAGAGCUAAGACUUGUAGUCGGAGAGUAAGGGCCUAAACAGAGACUUGGCAGACCAGAAUGCAAGAAUAUUCCCUGAUAAGCAACUUCUAUCCGUGGGCAUAAAAAUGGCAAAGACACAUUAACCUGGUAUCGAUCCAUCCUUUUAGAUAUAUUUUUUCAUGUAUUUGUUUAUUGAAUUGUUUGUUCAUGUAACUUUUGUAUCUGAGAAUAUUAUACAUAAAGAUAAUUAGAAGAAAAUCUUGGCCUCACAGUUAAGUGAAAAGCUUGCAUUAACUUGGGGAUUUCAUACUUGUUAAAAUGUGUGUUAUCUUACAGCUGUAAAAUUUAAUUAUUUUACUAUGGAAUUUUAAGGUACAAGUAUACUUAACUCUGCAAUAAAUAAUUUUUUCACUGAAUAUGAAACAAAGCUUAUGAAUUUUGCAUCUAGUAGGCUUUCAGUUUUGAGAAUUACUUAUUUCUAUUUCCUAAUUGGAUGAAUGAACCCCUUUGAUGUGUUAGUGAGCCCAUGAGAAUGAUUUCCAGAGAAAGAUGCAAAUAACAUCUCUUUCAAGAAAAGGGAGACAGCUCGUAUAUACGUUUUUCCCUAGUUGAACUGAUACUUUAUUAAUAAACAAUUUUUUUCCCUAGUAAUUCACAAACUGCUUCCAAAACAAGAUUUAGAACUGAAUACUGAGAAGAAAGAGCAAAUACAAAUAACAAAACUGCCUACUAUGAUCUGGCAUUGCUUACAAAACAAAAGCAUUUUUAUAACUUCUGUGUUGCUGAAAGUUGCUUCUUGUACUCAUGGAUGCUGUGGUUGGAUGGGAUGCAUAAGAUUAAAGUGAUUUCUUGAUUCUG